CACCCAAGGAUUCAGACACAGCACCCACAACCCAGGGCCCCUCGGAACGGUGGACUAAAUUUACCAAAGAAGAGCAGAGGCCAACAGCCAAAUGAAGCAGGCAGCAUGACACCUAGGCACUGGCCCAUGCCUACCGCAGAGGCCCAGGCAGUCAGUACACACCAAAGGCCAGCAACAAGGGGACUAACUGACCUCAACCUGGUGGUCCAUGCUAGCACCUCCGUCAAUCUCAGCGUGCAAUCUCAGCACAGCUCAGGCUGUUCGGCUCAAGACCACUCAGAUAGAAAGUGGCUAACUUUAAGCCAGGGCUGUCAACCAUGCCACCUCCCAAAAUGCAAAGGGGCAGGUAGAGAGCUAACGGGAGACCACAUGAACGCCUCUCCUGGUCUCUUUCCUUCCUGUUUACAGCCUGUUUCACUUCCCCCACCACGCUGAGUGGGGGUAUGUGUGCACGUGUAUGUGUGUGUGUGUCAGAAAAGGGGGAUCAGUUACCUCAUUAGAAAUCUCCACCCAUUUGAGCUUGCACAUG
rnacentral:antisense_RNA from 1 species